rnacentral:lncRNA from 1 species
GUUGUAAAAGAACAUGUUUUUAUUUGUCAUAAUUUGUUGGUAGGAUGUUAAAAAAAAAACCCAUAUUCUUGCCAAUAUUGUAAAUUGAUAUAACCUCUAGGGAAGGCAAUGUGGCAAUAUUUAUCAAAAUUCAAAACACAUACAACGUGAAGAGUAGUUUCACUACUAGUGUUACUGACCAUGGAUUCUUGGGCUCUCAAUGCAAUAGAAAUUGACAUGAAGUUGAAAGAGCUUUCCCAAACAAGGCCUCAUUGGAACUUAUGCCCAGACAUAAGGAAAGCAGCAUGAGUGAGAGAAUUCCCUGACUGACUUCCAGAAAAGAGCCGUAGGGCUUUUUUAUUAGGCAAAGCGCAGGAAUUGACAUCAGUGAUAGGGUAUGGAGGCUGGGCUGGGCAAGGCAUGUGAGGGGCAGGAGACACAGGUCAGCGUGAUCUGGUUGCUAUGUUUAUCUUGAGUAAGGGCCACCUGGUGGUCUGGUCGGAGGCAACAAGGCUGUAAAUCAGUCGUUCAGCAUUCCUUUCUGAGGACAACCUUGGUUAUUUCCUAAGGCCACUUCCUGGAAUUCUUUAAGGAAAAACACAGGGGAUUGGCCGGGCGUGGUGGCUCACGCCUGUAAUCCCAGCACUUUGGGAGGCAGGCGGAUCACCUGAGGCCAGGAGUUAGAGACCAGCCUGACCAACAUGGAGAAACCGCGUCUCUACUAAAAAUAAAACAUUAGCUGGGUGUGAUGGCACACGCCUGUAGUCCCAGCUGCUGGGGAAGCUGAGGCAGGAGAAUCGCUUGAACCUGGGAGGCAGAGGUUGUGGUGAGCCAAGAUCGCACCAUUGCACUCCAGCCUGGGCAACAAGAGCGAAACUCUGUCUCAAAAAACAAAACAAAACCCAGAAAACGUGAUGGCAUCAGUGAGGUAGUGGAGUAGGUUUUGUGAUCAGUGGGGAUGCAUGAAAGAAUGCUCUAGUGUGGCGGGCUGAAGCCAAAAGAAGCCAAGCCCUGUUCCUACUCUCUCACUAGUUUAGCAGUUUAUCCUUCAUGUAUGUUUUCCCCAAAGAAUAUUUAUUACAGCAAUAUUUUUGACAUUUGCUUUUUUUUU